rnacentral:rRNA from 1 species
GCAGCGACGCCGCGUGAGGGAUGACGGCCUUCGGGUUGUAAACCUCUUUCAGCAGGGAAGAAGCGAAAGUGACGGUACCUGCAGAAGAAGCGCCGGCUAACUACGUGCCAGCAGCCGCGGUAAUACGUAGGGCGCAAGCGUUGUCCGGAAUUAUUGGGCGUAAAGAGCUCGUAGGCGGCUUGUCACGUCGGAUGUGAAAGCCCGAGGCUUAACCUCGGGUCUGCAUUCGAUACGGGCUAGCUAGAGUGUGGUAGGGGAGAUCGGAAUUCCUGGUGUAGCGGUGAAAUGCGCAGAUAUCAGGAGGAACACCGGUGGCGAAGGCGGAUCUCUGGGCCAUUACUGACGCUGAGGAGCGAAAGCGUGGGGAGCGAACAGGAUUAGAUACCCUGGUAGUCCACGCCGUAAACGUUGGGAACUAGGUGUUGGCGACAUUCCACGUCGUCGGUGCCGCAGCUAACGCAUUAAGUUCCCCGCCUGGGGAGUACGGCCGCAAGGCUAAAACUCAAAGGAAUUGACGGGGGCCCGCACAAGCGGCGGAGCAUGUGGCUUAAUUCGACGCAACGCGAAGAACCUUACCAAGGCUUGACAUAUACCGGAAAGCAUUAGAGAUAGUGCCCCCCUUGUGGUCG